rnacentral:rRNA from 1 species
CGUUGAUUUCACACUGCCGAGAAAAGCCUCUAGCUAGAAUAACGGUGCCCGUACCGCAAACCGACACAGGUAGUCAAGAUGAGAAUUCUAAGGUGAGCGAGCGAACUCUCGUUAAGGAACUCGGCAAAAUGACCCCGUAACUUCGGGAGAAGGGGUGCUCUUUGAGGUUCACGCUUCGAAGAGCCGCAGUGAAUAGGCCCAAGCGACUGUUUAUCAAAAACACAGGUCUCUGCUAAACCGUAAGGUGACGUAUAGGGGCUGACGCCUGCCCGGUGCUGGAAGGUUAAGAGGAGUGGUUAGCGCAAGCGAAGCUACGAAUCGAAGCCCCAGUAAACGGCGGCCGUAACUAUAACGGUCCUAAGGUAGCGAAAUUCCUUGUCGGGUAAGUUCCGACCCGCACGAAAGGCGUAACGAUUUGGGCACUGUCUCAACGAGAGACUCGGUGAAAUCAUAGUACCGGUGAAGAUGCCGGUUACCCGCGACAGGACGGAAAGACCCCGUGGAGCUUUACUGUAGCCUGAUAUUGAAAUUCGGUACAGUUUGUACAGGAUAGGUAGGAGCCUUAGAAGCGUGAGCGCUAGCUUACGUGGAGGCAUUGGUGGGAUACUACCCUAAUUGUAUUGGAUUUCUAACCCGCAGCACUUAUCGUGCUGGGAGACAGUGUCAGGCGGGCAGUUUGACUGGGGCGGUCGCCUCCUAAAGAGUAACGGAGGCGCUCAAAGGUUCCCUCAGAAUGGUUGGAAAUCAUUCAUAGAGUGUAAAGGCAUAAGGGAGCUUGACUGCGAGACCUACAAGUCGAGCAGGGUCGAAAGACGGACUUAGUGAUCCGGUGGUUCCGCAUGGAAGGGCCAUCGCUCAACGGAUAAAAGCUACCCCGGGGAUAACAGGCUUAUCUCCCCCAAGAGUUCACAUCGACGGGGAGGUUUGGCACCUCGAUGUCGGCUCAUCGCAUCCUGGGGCUGUAGUCGGUCCCAAGGGUUGGGCUGUUCGCCCAUUAAAGCGGUACGCGAGCUGGGUUCAGAACGUCGUGAGACAGUUCGGUCCCUAUCCGUCGUGGGCGUAGGAAAUUUGAGAGGAGCUGUCCUUAGUACGAGAGGACCGGGAUGGACAUACCUCUGGUGUACCAGUUGUCGUGCCAACGGCAUAGCUGGGUAGCUAUGUAUGGACGGGAUAAGUGCUGAAAGCAUCUAAGCAUGAAGCCCCCCU